CGGGAAUCUUCCACAAUGGACGAAAGUCUGAUGGAGCAACGCCGCGUGAGCGAUGAAGGCCUUCGGGUCGUAAAGCUCUGUUGUCAGGGAAGAACAAGUGCCGGAGUAACUGCCGGUACCUUGACGGUACCUGACCAGAAAGCCACGGCUAACUACGUGCCAGCAGCCGCGGUAAUACGUAGGUGGCAAGCGUUGUCCGGAAUUAUUGGGCGUAAAGCGCGCGCAGGCGGUCCUUUAAGUCUGAUGUGAAAGCCCACGGCUCAACCGUGGAGGGUCAUUGGAAACUGGGGGACUUGAGUGCAGAAGAGGAAAGCGGAAUUCCACGUGUAGCGGUGAAAUGCGUAGAGAUGUGGAGGAACACCAGUGGCGAAGGCGGCUUUCUGGUCUGUAACUGACGCUGAGGCGCGAAAGCGUGGGGAGCAAAC
rnacentral:rRNA from 1 species